UCUCGGGUCGUCUAAUUGGUAGGACACGUUCCUGUCACGUUCGAGAUGCCGGUUCGAGUCCGGUCCCGAGAG
rnacentral:tRNA from 1 species